AUCAAAGGUCUCAAGUUUGUUGUAUGAACUUAUUCAAACUAAUGGAUAGCACAGAAUUUACAGUGUGUUUUAUAAGGCAAGGGUAAGAAAGAUAACAAAGAAUUGCCUGUGUAUUUUGUACUUUAUGGCCAAAUCUGCAGUAAAUUUUAUCAAAACAUCCAUCAAUCUAUCCCAAAGUGAGAUUAUUUUCCAUAUAAAAGCCUGAGAUUGUUUAAUCUUUAAGAAGCUUACUCCUUAAUACUCCUUUUUCUUUGCUUACCACUUACAUUAAAAGUGGUUUUAAGAAGAGCAAGUCCAUUUUUUUCUUUUGAAAUUUAAAUAAUGAAAAUCCUCAGCUAACAGUUUCAAGACAUAUAGGAUUUAAAAUGUAUUUUCAACAUAUUUCUGCUAACUCUGCUAUUGAGCUACCUUACAAUAUCUCUUUUUUUCUAGUGAACACCAUUUUUUUUUUUGCAUUCAAAGCUGAGCCAUUCAGAUCUGUCAUCCGAGAGCUGACAAGUACAGUAGGUGUAACUGCACUGUUCUAGUAUCCUAAAGAAAACCACUCUCUUAGGAAUAUAGAACAUUACUGGCAAAUGGUACAUGUUUCCAGACACCAACAUCUGAGGCCAUGAUGCAUUUGUUCUUUUAAACUCUCCUUUUACUUCAUAGCAAUUCUAGCUAAUUCAGGGGAACGCUUUUUUCUCUUGAAUAUGCUCCAGCUCCUUUGAAGCUAAGAUAGCUGCACAAUGAAGAGGUAUUUAGAAACAGGAACUCCUGGCACAAUAUGAAUUUGUAAGUAGUUUGUGAAGCCAGCAAUUUCAUCAUGAUUGUUGCCAAACAUUGUGGGUGGGGGCAGGCAUGGUAUGUACAUUUUUCAGAUGUUCCACUGUAGCAGCUACUUGGUACGUUUCCUCCAAACACUAAAUAGUCGGUAGGUAAGUUAACAUUUGGCCUUUUGCCUUCACACACAAAAAGCUCUAUGUGUCAACUGUGAAAACUUAAAAUGAAAUUGAAAUACAAUUAUUUUUCAUCUGAGGUGGUAGGAGACAACUGGUAAUGCUUUACCCCCUCCCACUUUUUUUUCUUUUUUUCCAGUCUUUCUUUUUAGUUCUUCAUGCUGAAAGUAGAAUACAAUGCAACACAUUUUUGGAAGACUAAGUAUACAGUUACAGUGCCAGUCCUACCUGCUGCAUCCUUCAGCAUGUUCCAAGGGAAGCAUGCAGAAUAUUUUACUGUGCUGUAUGCCACAUAAUUCAGUUUCUCAACUGCUUAGAAAGACUAAUACCCCACUGCAAAGCAAACUGACACUAUAUUAAGAAGGUUUUUUUCUUCAGAUAAAGCAUUAGGAAAGUGUCACCUGUGUCAUUCGUCAUAUCUGGGUUCCAGGAGGAAACAAAAUUCAUCAACCUGCAAUUGUAGCUAGCAUAUCCCUAGGAUUUCAUAGCUUUCACACUUCAGCUAUUUCCCUAUGUACACAAGGAUGCUGUCAACAGUUAUUCAUAUGAAGAUACUAAUUUACCUCUUGGUGCCUGAAUUCGUUGUUACCAUCCUUUGCUCUGGACUACAUGGCGAGAGUUGUCCAUUUACUACAUGUUCAAGAUUCCCUAUGAUUGUCCUGUGUUGAAUGAGAGCAUGGUCUUGGUGCAUGAUUUGACCUGCAUCACCCAUAAAUAGAUCAAAUAAAACUGCCUUCGCUUUCUGAAGAAUAAAAACUGAAGGAAACUGUUAUCAUUAAAAUGCCAGCAAUCACCAUCCAGUGCUCCUGCAUGUACCAAGUGGUGUGGAGUAAAGUCACCUCUAUUGCUCUCCUGCUGACCUGGUGCAUCCCCUCAGUGGUGCCAGUCUUCCAUUCGCUACAAUAUCAUUAGUUGUCUAUUUCAAAAGAUUUAGGGCUCAGGCUAUGUCUACACUAUCACUUAUGUUGGUAUAACUUGUGUCACUCAGGCAUGUGACUAAACUGCCACCCGAGUGACAUAAGUUACACUGACCUAUGUGGAACAGUGCGUGUGGACAGGACAGAUUCUCCAACACACUAGCUACCCCGCUCGCUGGGAUGGAUUAAUUAAGUCGAUAGGAGAGUUUCUUUCCCGUCGGCUAAGAGCAGUAUACUGAGAAGUUACAGCAGAGCAGCUGCAUUGGUGCAACUGCGCUGCUGUAACCUCUCCAGUGUAGUCAUAGCCUCAAUUAUGCAAGAUGCCUGAGCCCUUUGACCUUGACUCAGGAAAACACAAGUAUCUGCUUAACAUUAAGCACACAGUGGGACUACUCACGGACUUAAAUUUAAAUGUGUAUUAAGUGUUUUCCUGGAUCAGGGCCAGAGUACUCAGCACCUUGCAGACUUGAGCCCUAACUGUUGUGCUACAUAAGGAACAUGUAUAGCAAACUUCUGAAAUCAAAAUUCUGAAUCUUACCAUUGGCAAAUAUUACCCAUGAGAAAUAACCCAACCGUGUGUUAUUUUUAUGCAUUUUAUUCUGUUAAAAACAAAAUUUAAUUUUUGGGUUAACUUCAGAGUUAUGCAGAAUUUUGUGGGUGGCAUUUAUUUUGCAGUAUGUGGUUCUUGUUUGAAUAUAGUGGAUUAUUUAAAUCUACCCGUUGU